GAAAUAACACAAAUAAUGUAUAGAGUUGCUGAUUGGCAAAUACACUUUAACACUUUACAUUCUGAAACUAUCCCAAAGACCCGGAAACCCACGGGAAAACACAGGCUAAGAGUAAUACAUGACACUGCUCUAAUCAUCCGGAAAAGUCUAUAACAAGGAAGAACAAUAUAGCAUCUAACUGACUAAAGGGGUAGAGUGAGAAGGAGACUCUCCGGUCUGCAGAUGCGGCAGAUAUACCUCAAGUCUCCGAAAUGCUCCCUAUAGCUACUGAUAAUGCGCCUGCAUAGAGGUACCUGGAUUUGCACAUGAAAAACAUGCGCAUAAAUACGUGAGUACAUCACAACGGUACUCAGUAGGUGCCAAGCCUAACUUCGGUCAGGUAGUGAUGAGGAAAGGUCGAGACCCUACUGAGAUAAAAACAUAAUAAUCAAUAGAAUAAGAAAAGACCAUAUGGAUAUAAUCUACUGGGAGAAUCUAGCAAAGUAAUAAAUAAGAGAGGAACUUACAGAGUAAGUAAGUAGAAGAGCAAAUCACCACCGGGUAUCUACCAUUGGGGAUCUCCUGGUAUCCCAAUGAUCUCCUGGUAUCCUCAUCAUAUACUCGAGGGAUCUCUUAGUAUCCCAAGGAUCUCCUAGUAUCCUCCAUUUUUACAUAAGGGACCUCUUCGUAUCCUUCAUUUUACACAAGGGAUCUCUUAGUAUCCUGAAGAUCUCCU
rnacentral:lncRNA from 1 species